AUUGAACGCUGGCGGCAGGCUUAACACAUGCAAGUCGGGCGGAGAUGAGGUGCUUGCACCUUAUCUUAGCGGCGGACGGGUGAGAAUGCUUAGGAAUCUGCCUAUUAGUGGGGGACAACAUUCCGAAAGGAAUGCUAAUACCGCAUACGCCCUACGGGGGAAAGCAGGGGAUCUUCGGACCUUGCGCUAAUAGAUGAGCCUAAGUCGGAUUAGCUAGUUGGUGGGGUAAAGGCCUACCAAGGCGACGAUCUGUAGCGGGUCUGAGAGGAUGAUCCGCCACACUGGGACUGAGACACGGCCCAGACUCCUACGGGAGGCAGCAGUGGGGAAUAUUGGACAAUGGGCGGAAGCCUGAUCCAGCCAUGCCGCGUGAGUGAAGAAGGCCUUUUGGUUGUAAAGCACUUUAAGCGAGGAGGAGGCUACCUGGAUUAAUACUCUAGGAUAGUGGACGUUACUCGCAGAAUAAGCACCGGCUAACUCUGUGCCAGCCGCCGCCGUAA
rnacentral:rRNA from 1 species